rnacentral:lncRNA from 1 species
CUAAAUUCGUACAGAACUUAAUUCAAAGCAAAUAAAAACACACUGUUCUGAAUUACUCUAGCUUUGGUGUUUUAUUUCUAAGAUUGAACUUGUAUGUUCAAGGCCAGUGUGUUUUUUUUUGAGACUUUUGAAACAAGAAGAUCAGCAAGUAGCCAGAUAUCUUUCACCAAAUGAACCUGUCAAAGGUGAGCAGUCCUUCUAUUUCCAGUCUAUAAUGGAAAUCAGGAAUCAGAUAUGGAUUCAGGAGAAGCCUGAUGAUCUGAGUUGCCCGGCUGAACUCCUUCCAAGAAACACAGUCAUCUCAGAGAAGGCAGGAUUUCUGUUUCAUAAAUGAGAAGUGUUGGAAGCCAGGACUCCGGAUUAUCAAAGGGAUGAAUCUCUAUCCUGUGAAGAGCAUAGCUGCUGAUCAUCCCAAAACUGGAGCCAUCUUAAUGUGAACAACAGCUUUCCUCCCCGUAAUGCCCGUGCCAGCCAUUGAGCCACCCAGGAGGAUCUGGGGAGCCCCAAGUCUCCAAAGCAGAAACAAAAGGGAAGACUUGUCCGAGAUUACCUUAGUAAUAAGCAGCUAAUUAUAAUAUUAAUUUGCAUAAUACCCUCCCUUUUAGCAGUGAUUUCACUGCGAAAACCAAGUGGUAUUAAUGAAAAAAAAAUUGUUUCCAGCUGCCUAAGCCCAGAGGCUAAUCCAGGAAUUGAUGCCCUUGCAACAAUGACCAUAAGAUCUCCUUGUGGGCAGAGCCUCUGAAGGCCUGUUUGGGCAGCUAACCCUUCUUUUGAGCGCUCUUUUUUACCUUCAGUGGUUGAGACUGAGGUCUUAAAACUGCUCCUGCCAAUGACAACCAAAGUUACCUGCCAGAGCAGAAAGAAACAAAAGAAAAGGAAAAUCUUAAAUUAUGCGUUCCCUUCUUUAGAAUGGGCCUGUGGUUGGGGGCUGGCAUAUGGGCAUCAGUGGAUGAAACUGGAGAAGGUGGAAGUGUUCAUGUGAAAAAAAAUGGUUCAACAAUUUCUUAUAAAGUUAAACCCUAUGACUCAGCAAAUCUACUCCUGGGUAUGUACCUAUGAGAAAUGAAGCAUAUGUUCACCAAAAGACUUGUAAAAGAAUGUUUGGAGCACUUUAUUUUUCAUAGCCUCAAACUGAAAACAAACCGAAUGUCCAUUACCAGGAGGGUGGAAGAACAUACUGUGGAAUAUUUACGUAAUAAACUAAUAAAAUACAGACAUACACAACUUGGAUGAGCUUUGAAAACAUUAUAUUGAGUGAAAGAAUUCAGAUGCAAAAUAAUUCAUACUGUAUGAUUCCAUUUGCGUGAAGCUCCAGAACAUUCAAGGCUAAUCUAUGGUCAUAGAAAUUAGAACAGUGGUUGCCUCUCGGCAGUGGUGGUAGGAUUGACUGGAAGGGGCAUGAGGGAAAUUUCUGUGGUGCUGGAAAAUUUUAUAUAUCUUGACCAGUGUUAUGGUUACAUGGAUAUAUACGUUUGUUGAAACUCAGCAAAUAGACACUUAAAG